GGCUUUUGUGGAAUGUAAAAAGUUCUACGAAUAAGGACUGGGUAAGACUAGUGCCAGCCGCCGCGGUAAUACUAGCGGUCCAAGUCGCAGCCAUUCUUAUUGGGUCUAAAUCAUCCGUAGCUUGCUUGAUAAGUUUUCUGUGAAAUCUCAUAUCUCAAGUAUAAGAAUUGUGGAAAAUACUGUCAAGCUAGAGACCGGGAGACGUAAAGAGUACGUCUAAAGUAGCGGUAAAAUGUGUUGAUCUUAGGCGGACUGACGAUAGCGAAGGCACUUUACGAGAACGGUUCUGACAGUAAGGGAUGAAGGCUAGGGGCGCAAAACGGAUUAGAUACCCGUGUAGUCCUAGCAGUAAACACUGCACACUAAACCUUGUGAUCUCUUCGAGAGAUUGCAGGGCUGCGGGGAAGCCGAAGAGUGUGCUACCUGGGAAGUAUAGUCGCAAGGCUGAAACUUAAAGGAAUUGGCGGGGAGACACUACAACGGGUGACGCGUGCGGUUCAAUUAGAUUAUACACCGUGAACCUCACCAGGAGCGACAGCAGAAUGAAGGUCAGUCUAAAGGGCUUACCUGACACGCUGAGAGGGGUUGCAUGGCCGACGUCAGCCUGUGCUGUGAGGCGAUCUGUUAAAUCAGAUAACAGGCAAGACCCACAUCUUUAUUUAC
rnacentral:rRNA from 1 species